CUAAACCCUAGCAUAUCUCCAGUUUCACAGCUAGCCGCCAUUCUCCUUUGCUUGCUAUAUGGAAUCAGAAACAAUUCUGCUGGCUGUCCUCUUCGCUGCUUUGAUAUGGUUGCUAAUGGGAAAAACAAGACCUACAGGAGGCGGAGGCGGAAUUGCACACGCAUUCAACAACGGGGAGGGAGGCCUUCAAAACAUGCCUGGGGCUCACAUCAGCGUUGGCCAUACUGAUGGGCAUGUCGCGGGCAUUCCUAAAAAGAAAUAAGGCAAAUAAUUAACCUUGAUGCUGCAAAUGGAGGGAUUUAUAUUUCUUAUUUCCUAUUCAAAUCCAUUCAAGGAUCUUGAAAUCUCGACUAUAUAUAUUUCUACAAAUUAUGUGAACUUAUGUGUGUAUUUUUCUUUUAAAGUUUAUAGAUAUGUCUACGUCGUGCUCUAAAAUUAAUAACUUAGGUUCGACUUC